AAUAGAUACCCGGAUAGUCCACGCCGUAAACGAUGAGUGCUAAGUGUUAGAGGGUUUCCGCCCUUUAGUGCUGCAGCUAACGCAUUAAGCACUCCGCCUGGGGAGUACGGUCGCAAGACUGAAACUCAAAGGAAUUGACGGGGGCCCGCGCAAGCGGUGGAGCAUGUGGUUUAAUUCGAAGCAACGCGAAGAACCUUACCAGGUCUUGACAUCCCACUGACCGGUAUAGAGAUAUACCUUUCCCUUCGGGGACAGUGGUGACAGGUGGUGCAUGGUUGUCGUCAGCUCGUGUCGUGAGAUGUUGGGUUAAGUCCCGCAACGAGCGCAACCCUUGAUCUUAGUUGCCAGCAUUUAGUUGGGCACUCUAAGGUGACUACCGGUGACAAACCGGAGGAAGGUGGGGAUGACGUCAAAUCAUCAUGCCCCUUAUGACCUGGACUACACACGUGCUACAAUGGAUGGUACAAAGGGCUGCAAGACUGCGAAGUCAAGCCAAUCCCAUAAAACCAUUCUCAGUUCGGAUUGCAGG
rnacentral:rRNA from 1 species